AUCAACUCUGUUCAGCCUGAGGGAAGCACAGGGAAGCCCCCAGGGGGCUGGCAGGGGUCCUCUCUGUCUCCAAGUAGGAUGCCAUCAAACUGUCCUGUAAUCAUGAGUGGUGGAGGUAAACUUGAACGUACCCUGAGAUCGGAUUUCCAACUCGGAGCAACGGCAUCAACCCCGACUUACGAAUUCAAAAUGGCUGUUGGUCUUAUGGUGCGUUCGCUUUGUACUCGAAGGUCGGAAAUUCCCAAUUCCCAGUCGGAAGUUUAAACUCGAACGCACCCUGAGAUUGGAUUUCCAACUUGGAAACUCGGAGCUACUGCAUCAACCCCGAUUUACGAAUUCAAGAUGGCUGCCGGUCACAUACAUAGUGGGUAAACACUAUAGGACAAAUGUUCCAGUCCCUCCGCCUCCAGUACAGGAUUGGGACCAGCACAGUCUCCGCUAUCGUCAUGGAAACAUGCUCGGCUUUGUACAUUACCAUGAAGAAUGACUGCCAAGACGCAGAGGGACAUUCUGAGGGACUACUUUGUGUCACCGGCUGGCAGUGGUCCUUGUCAGGAGGAGCACAUCUAGAUCUUGAUCACUUUUAAUUGACUCCAUACUACUUUUUACCAAAUAAACAUCCUCAAGGAAAUCUAA